UCCCUGGCGGCCUAGGGGUUAGGGCUCAGCACUCCCACUGCUGUGGCCCAGGUUCAGUUCCUGGUGUGGGAA
rnacentral:tRNA from 1 species